GAUGAACGCUGGCGGCGUGCCUAAUACAUGCAAGUCGAGCGAACGGACGAGAAGCUUGCUUCUCUGAUGUUAGCGGCGGACGGGUGAGUAACACGUGGAUAACCUACCUAUAAGACUGGGAUAACUUCGGGAAACCGGAGCUAAUACCGGAUAAUAUUUUGAACCGCAUGGUUCAAAAGCGAAAGACGGUCUUUCUGUCACUUAUAGAUGUAUCCGCGCUGCAUUAGCUAGUUGGUAAGGUAACGGCUUACCAAGGCAACGAUGCAUAGCCGACCUGAGAGGGUGAUCGGCCACACUGGAACUGAGACACGGUCCAGACUCCUACGGGAGGCAGCAGUAGGGAAUAUUCCGCAAUGGGCGAAAGCCUGACGGAGCAACGCCGCGUGAGUGAUGAAGGUCUUCGGAUCGUAAAACUCUGUUAUUAGGGAAGAACAUAUGUGUAAGUAACUGUGCACAUCUUGACGGUACCUAAUCAGAAAGCCACGGCUAACUACGUG
rnacentral:rRNA from 1 species